AGAAGGUAAAUGCUGGGGAAGACUCUGUUACUGCUUUUCUCCUUUCAUCUGAAGCAGCUUUGGCUGGGGCUGAGUCAACCAUACACAUGCAGGCACAGGCCGGCCGGUCAACCUAUGUGCCCGGGGAGAUACUUGCAUCGGUUCCAGAUCCAGGAGCAAUGGCUGCAGCAUCAUGGUAUAGAGCAGCAGCUUUAGCUGUUAAGGACAAGUGCCAGCCUUCGUGAUUAUGUAUACGCCCUGCCCCUUAUGCGUUGAUGAUCAAUUCAUGCUCCUUUUUUUGGCUGCAGAUCAACCAACAAAAUCCUUUUCUUUUUCUUCUUUUCUUUUUUCUCUUUGUCAUUUAUAAUUUACGAUCUUAACAAUUUUAAGCUUUCUUCUUUUCUUCUUUGCUCUUUGCUCUUUGUCAUUUAUGUCUUCAUGUGGUUUAAUGAUUAUUUGUAUUGAUUUUUUUUAUUUAUUUCAAUAUGCCUUUAGAUUUUGGAUAUGUUUUCACACGCAUCUCGAUCUUCUGUUGUUGUUCUCUUAGAUCCUGAAAUUUUAUAUUCUUCUUGCAAAGAGAGCCAGAGAGCGGCUAAAAGGACAAAGGUUUCCAAGCAUGCUGUCAUAAAUAUGAUUUUUAAUGGCAAUAAUACACCAUCAAAGAAGCAUGGUAUGGGUAAAGGUUUAAUGACAGCAUGGCGGGCAAUUAACCCUCAUGCUGGAGAUAAUCCUACCAGCAUCGAUUGUGCCAGCGAAGAAACGGGACCAUCAA